rnacentral:rRNA from 1 species
UACGAAGGGGGCUAGCGUUGCUCGGAUUGACUGGGCGUAAAGGGCGCGUAGGCGGUUCGUACAGUCAGACGUGAAAUUCCUGGGCUCAACCUGGGGGCUGCGUUUGAUACGUGCGGACUUGAGUGCGGAAGAGGGUCGUGGAAUUCCCAGUGUAGAGGUGAAAUUCGUAGAUAUUGGGAAGAACACCGGUGGCGAAGGCGGCAACCUGGUCCUUUACUGACGCUGAGGCGCGAAAGCGUGGGGGAGCAAACAGG